CGGGGGGAAGGGUCUCUUCUGGAGAUCUGCUCUGCUGGAGUUUCACAAGCUAGCCCAGGAUACGGGUAAGCGUCCUAUCUUUUCAGCUUUGGUGUAAUAACUGCGUAGCCAAGCUCUGGUAUCCCUCAUAGCUGUAACAGCUGUACGUUCAUUGAUUGUACGCCCUGCCCUCUCCUCAUUCCAAAAGGUGCUGCUUCAGCAUCCCCUUCCCGACUCCUGGCAGUUACGUGAUGCUAAUUGAAAAGAACCAAAUGUUCUCUUUGGAAGUUUCCUGCAUCAGUGUUAAUCUUCUAUGUGGAGUAAUUUUAUUAAAAUUCCCCAAAGAGCAAAUUGUAAAUUCAUUAGAGCCUGUUUUGGUCUGCGCUCUCCCUCAUUUUGGGUGGGGAAAAGAAAAAAAAAAAAAGAAAAAAAAUUAAAAGUCAUCUGGUCUUCGUGAUAAUUAAAAAGAAGAUGCUCAAACAUAGUUCUUAAUUAAACUGUAAUGAGAUAAGAACUCCAUAGACUGCUUUUAGUCUGUUGGAAAGAUUCAGAGGUUCCCAUUGUAAUUAUGUGAUUUAUGAUCUUCCACACAGAGCUGUAAUUAGGUUUCUUCCCCCCUUUUAAAACUUAGACAUUAUUUAGAUAAAAAAUGAUGCAGCAUUUUGAAUCUGCUUUUCCUGGUGGUAUUGUAAUUCAUUUUGAAAUCAUUUUGGGAUUCAACCUAAAAAGAGUCCUAGGUAAUUGUCAGGCAGCCAAGAGGCAGAUCAUAAAACACAGCCCUGGAGAUUGUGGGAUGCAGUGGGGUGGCAGCAGGAGGUGGGUCAGACACCUGAGGUCAACACAAAAACAUUUCCCAUUGCAUCCUGAGAAGUGUUAGUGUUUGCAGGCAGCACUAUGGAGUGACACCAGUCUGCAAUGCUGCUGAGACCCAUAGUUGGUUUGUUUCUGCCUGGUCUUCUGAGGAAACAAAGCAAGUGCUCAGUGUGCUUCUGCAUGAGAGGCUUCACCUGUGCAACAAACAUCUAGGGAGAUGAAUGAGACCUGUAGACCUUUGCUGUUCCCUAAAAGUAAUGCAAAACUAUCCUUACUAGCUGGAAAAAAAAGAUUAAAAUGUUAGACCAGGGGGGCUGUAAGAAAGAAAGGAAUGGACUCUUCAGCAAGGUCUGUUGGGAUAAGGCAAGGGGAAAUGAUUUCAAACUAAGAGAGGAGAUUUAGGAUGGAUAUGAGGACUAAGGGUGAUGAAGCAUUGGUACAAGUUGUCCAGAGAUGUGAGUCUCCUGCCCCGGGUCAGGCUGGGCUGGACCCCGAGGACCUGAUGGAGCUGUGUGUGCCCCUGUUCAUUGCAGGGAGUUGGACCAGAUGGCCUUUAUGGGUCUCCUGCAACUGAAACAAGUCUAUAUUCAGACCCUGCUUUGUAUGGCUGCCACCGAGACUUUGCUUGAGUGUCAGUGCAGGGCUUGGGGCUCUGCUUUCUGUGUGGAAACAUGGAGAGUGGAACUCUGCUAGAGGUCUUUCUCUGGUACAAGGAAUUUCUCAUCGAUUGCUUAACACCAUGAAUCACACUCCAGACAGAGGCUUGAUAAUGUUAGAGGUCUUUUCCAACUGUGAUGAUUCUCUGAUGCAGAAGCACAGGGGUGUUUUGAGAACCUGGCUUUGCUGAGGCACGUUGGUAUAAUUGUACCAUUGUAAAUGGAGUUUGAAAACCAUAGUCAAGUUUUGUUCAGAAAGCUCCCUUCGUAGAUUGGCAGAAAUGAAUUAGGUUGCUGUAAGGGUCUGAAUUAAAAACAAAAUCCACAGUUAGACAUUUCCGCUGGGUUGCUUUGUCUGUCCCUCAUCGUUGUAUUAUGGGUUUGGCCAAGGAAAAUGGAGGAUGUGGUUCUAGGCUGGGUCUGGUGCUGCUGUGAGGGAGAAGCAGCUGAAUCCAAACCAGGAGUUCACUGACAGCAUUCUGAGUCUGACUGAGGAAAUCCUCAGAGAACUUCUCACAACUCCCCUCUGCCCACCCCCCACUUCGGAAGUGGCGAACCCUGGAAAUGUAGAACCUCAGCACAGAGCCAACGGUGGUUCUGCUGGGGUGUCCUUGGUUUUUCCAGUCAGAAAGAGAUGAGAGGAGGGUCUGGCAGAAAUGGUCUGAGUCAGUAAUGUUCAGCAAUUUCCUGAACAACACCUUACAUGCAGCUCAGAUAGAAUGCUAUGUGUUUGAAGACAUUUUUCUAAUCAUUUGUGUACAUUUUUUUUAGAAGGUUUAUUAUCCUCAGUAAGCCUGGGAUAAAAUCCUUGUGUAACCUAUUAAUCUAGGAUUGCCAUCUGCAAGUACAUGUGUGCUUGUGUGUAUGCAUCACUGUGUGUGCACACAGAUGGAUGGAGCGCCCAGCUCUGUUAAUCAGGAAUCUGUCUCUUUAAUGACUGGAAGAGAAUCAUAUGUGUCUGACUUUUAAGAGAUAAAGGCGUGAUGAGAUAGCAACACUGGGGUUUGAUCUUUGUACAAAUUGCAAAGGGAUCCACAGUUACUGCUCUAGUGGAGAGGUGGAUGGGCAGAUCAGUAGACAGAAUAGAAAAAUAGGCAGAUUAAACAUGGACUGGGAUGAAUACAUUAAAUGGCUGUAGAAGGAGCACUGUUGUUAAAUGGAAAUGCUUCACUCUUGUUCAAACUUCAGCUAUCUUCCUGGUUUUGAAACAAUUAAAUUUAAUUAUCUGCUUUUGCUGCAAACAGUGAAUGAAAGUGCAAACAUCAGACACAGCUGUGUGUGGGGGGGAGGUUCAAAGCAGGUGCCUUGUUUCAAGUACGUGUGACCAGCCUGGUGCACCUGGGUGUGCAAUCAGUCUUUUGAAGAAGGACCUGUUGCUACUGAGCACAGCCCGGUGCCAUCCCCUCUGCCCACCCUGGGGAACAUUGAGGGCGCCUCCUGCUCUGAGGGAUCACAGAGUUGGGAAGGACCCACAAGGGUCUUCGAAUCCAACCUCUGCCUCCACACAGCACCACCCAAACCCUAUGUCUGAGAGCAACGUCCCUGUGCCUACUGCCUCGGGGAGCAUGUUCUAUGCUCGGAACCUUCACCUCUCAGUGACGGCCUUUGGAGUCCCCUGAGGUCAGGGUGCCAGGUUUGUGCUGUUGGCAUGCUGGUGGCAGCAGGAUGGCCACAGGUCCUACAGGUGGUGGAUUUGCAUAGAGCUGCCUUUUCACUGGAGAGCAAUGGACUCUGCAGGCCGAGGGGCUGCUCUGCUUUAUGCGAGAGGCUCUGUGCAGCUGUGGAGGCAGGGAGGGGCAGCGCGUGUCUGUUUGGAUGCUGGCUGUGUCACUGAAAUAAGUGAUUGAAUUUGUUCUGGUUUCCUUAUCAGGAGAUUCGGGAACUGUCUCCCCAUAUCCCUUUCCCAGUGGAUGAGCUAGUUGAGAUGAUAAGACAAUUUUCACAGCGCCUGCUUGGGUAUUUACUUUUUCCAUUUCAAUUCUACAUCUGCUCAGUUACCGACUUGGAAUUUGCAACCAUCUUAUUUAGGAGAAGGAAUUGAUUUCUCAUUCUGUUACUGCUUCUCUUGGUAUAAUUAAAGUGUAUUGCAAAAUGAAGAAUUUCUCCUGGCCUGGGAACUGGUUUGCCUCUUGGGUAAUUCUGUAAACCAAGAAAGGCUUUUCGUUUUCCUCUGGAAUGUAAAUUAUGGUUACAUCUACUUUAAAGUCUUUGUUGUGCUGCAGGAGACCAAGGGGGCUCUUGAUUUAGGGUUGUGCAGAGGCAGAGGGGCUUUUGCAAAUCAGUCCUGUGGUGAUCUGCCAGCCAGGCCCAUGCAGAUGAAGCCUGAUGCGAUACAUGAGGUGGUAUUGCCUGGUGAGGAGCAAAUGAGAACUUUGGGGGGUGGGGGUGGGAAAGGAUGCCCUUUGCAGCAGUGACAGUGCAGACUUAGAGCCUUGCUGACAGUCCUUUUCUGUAAAAAUACAACCUCCGAUGAUUUAUUUCUUCCAGCAUGUACCAGCACAACUAAUAAACGUGCUGUCAAAGCCACCUGUCAGCUCUUAUGUUAAAGUAAAGGAAGAGGGAGACUUUUAAAAAAGGAUCUGAGAAUCAAUAAGAAACAAGGAACUGCCUGGCUGAAAAUGGGCAUUCGUGUGCUGUCACGUAGGCUUUAAUUAAGCCAACUGACUGAAUGCCAGGUCUCAGACUGGCACUGCCUGAAUGCAGAGAGCCCUGUGAGGACGAGAGGCCCCACUCCAUGUGCUCCUCACAGCAUGGCUGGGCGCUGUGGAGCUGUGCUGUGGUGUCCUGGAGCCUGUGAUGAUUUAUGCUUAAUCACACCAUGAGUUUCUCUGCUGCAUUUUAAGUUUUGCAAGGACUGAUGUAAUGGAAAUCAGAAGGCAAAGACCUUAAUGGAAUUCUUUUCUUCUUUCUAGUGAAAUAACGCUUGUGUCUUGAUCUGCCAGAAGAGGAGCUGCUUAAGGACGGUGGGCUGUCACCCCUGCUGCAGUCAGCUUUACUGGACUGCUGCAGCUUCUUGGUCUGUUUUUAGAAAGAACUCAAGGACAGCAGAAGAAGAGCAACCUGGUACCUGUUUGCAUAUGCCAACAAAGAAGGAUUUUGCAGCUGCUGCAUUACACAGAGCAACUGCUUCAUUCAUUGCCUGCUCCUAAUAACAAACAGUUCACCCCUGGCCCUGGUAGGAGGGAGCAGCACGGCCACAGCUGAAGGGGAGGAGGUUGGCACUGCCACCAGGUCUGGACCUGCCUGCUGAUCUCACACACUUCUGAAGACAGGUGAUAUGUCUGAGAUUUUAAACAAAACAAACAAAAUAAUCCAGAAAGGACAUUUUGUUCUUACAUGAGCAAGUUAAACCUUUUAAAUGGUAGAAAAGCAAUAUGUAGAAGUAGCAAUUUGCACUGCAUUUUUAUAUAUCACAGCCAUUACACGUAACAUUUCUACAGUGAAAAAAUAGACUGUCUUUGAACAUAAUAUGAACAAAUAAGCAAUUUUUUUCUUUUAAAUUCAUUGACUGAUAUUCUUUGUCUUUAAAAAAAAAAAAAAAGGAAAAAAUACACUAUUUAAAAAAAAGGUAAUGUCACUUGUUACAGUUACAUCGAUACUUUAAAGAAAGCCACUCACAGUUAUGCCAUUGAAUGCAUCUUACUUGAUCUUUCCCAGUUAUUUCUACAGCUAGGGCUGGUUCGUUGCUGUGCCCAUGGGCUUGGUGUGAAGUGGUAUGGAGGCAGUCCUGAGGCAAUCUCUGCGUUGCUCCCGGAGAGCCACUGCAUCCGCAGGUGAAGGUUUGGCAGCAAGAAGCAGUUGGCUAUAUGAGCUAAGUGUCCUAAGGGUGCUUCUCUGGCUCCUUUCAGAGAGAUGCUUCUGGCCUUCUGUGGCAGGAACUGGUGGGGAGGCACAGCUGCUUGCAGCAGAAGUGGGGUUGUGUGCAUGUGCAAAGAGAAUGGGAAAGGGGCUGCCUUUCUGCCUCGGGUGUCCCACCACUGCCUGCUCAGUGCCUCCCUGGAGCUGGAUGUGCUGAAAAGGGAAGCGAAUGCAGCCCAGCAGAGCUGCCACCUCUGCCUGUAUGCCUGUGUCAAGGGGAUGGGGCCGUACGAUGGCCAGGUCUGGGUUUUCCUCUCUCUCUUUCUCUCUAAUUUUAAAUAUCCUAAAAAUAAAUUUUGGAAUUAGAAGAAAUGAGGAAUGUUCUAAGUAAGUGUUCAAAGUGUGAGCUAUAAAACCUCUCGCGUGGCAGGGGCACACAGUGAAUGCUGUUUGCAAGGUGCCUGUAAGCCCAGAAUCAUCCCACUGUUGAUACUGAGGUUAUUAAGACUCCAGCUGAAAGAACUCCUGACCCUACAUUUGCCUAAGUGUUGAGAUAUAGUUCCUGAACAUUUACAGAACACCUUCAAUUCUGCAAGUGACUUCCUUUAAAGACUGCCAACUAUAUUAGUAAAUAAACUGAACUCUAAUGAUGUAACCGAAGUCGGUUUCCUUCCCUUCUCCAGCGGUAACGUUUUGCAAGGUGUGUUUUAGCUUUUGGAUCUCUUUGAUGAUGUCCAUACAUCCUCCACAGCGAACACCACUUGAGGUAACAAGAGCAGUUCACCACUUAAAGUAGUCCAUCAGCAACCUCCUGAGCUGCCUCUUCACGGUCCAGGCUACAACAUGGAGUUCCUGAAGGGGUGUUCCUUUCAAUCCUUCCCCCUGCUCCCCAACGCAUUGUCUGGAUGAAAAGGUACUUCUUCUGAUUCAGUUUGUAAGUUCAAGCGCUCCUCCUGGGUCAAAAGAGGCCUUCCAGGACUUAAGUGGUUGACAGAGUCUGCACAACAGAUGGCUUUUUAUGUUGCAUAGUGAUCGAAACUUCCCAGAUAUUCCAAAGCUGCCUGGUAACAGAACUGGUAUUCAUCCUACAAAUGAAAAAGAGCAGCAGUGCUUCAGCUUCAGAGGUUACAAGAAUUCAGGAUACCCACCCUGCUUAGCAGCUGGCAUAUACCUGGGCAGCAACCACACACAGAUGUGUUUAUUCUCAGAGAGGGGUGAACUACAGUGAAGGGAAAUCCCUUUAUUGCUUGUGCAUCUUAUACAUAGCAGCCCUCCUGUCACCAGCCGUCCUGUCCCUGCAGCCAAAGUGGGCUGUGAUUAGGGGCAGGUGAGCGUCCCUUAAUUCAGAGGCAGGAUGAGAUGAGAAUCAAAGCUGGCAGACUGGGAUGAAAUCUUCAGGAAAUUUUAUAAAAUAAAGCCUAUUGUUGUUUUUUUUUUUAUUCGAUUUUUUUUAAACAGUAUAAGUAAAGCCAGGAGUACAGCUUGGGCUUGCUUAGUUAGGGCUUUUCAGUUAAAUGUUUGCAUGUGAUUAGAAAGACAAAAAGCCUCCUCCCCUCAGCUGAGGGAUUGCUCUGCAAAGGUCCGCUAAGCUGAGACAGAGGAAGGGUUUGCCAUUCCACCUUACCUCUGUUUGCACCAUAGCAGGUCGUUGUGUUCGCAGCAUCUUCACUGUCUGGAAAAUAUCUACAACACCCUCAUAACGCAUUCUUUCCAGGACGAUACUGAGUGUGAUGAACACUCCAGUCCUGCCCACCCCAGCACUGAGAGGAAAAAAACAAAACGAUAUGUUACAGUCACGGUGCAACACAUUGACAUGUUCCUGUGUCACUGAAUGGCUUGGGUUGGAAGGAACCUUAAACCUUAAAGGGUUUCAAGCCCCUGUUUGGGCAGGAUUGCGAAUGCUGAGGUUAUGAUAGGGUAUAUAAGGGUGGUAAGGCUAUGUCUUAUGAACACAAACAUAUUAGAAGUGGAAAGCUCAGUCAGUCCUCCAAGAGGACAGCAUCGAAGUGUCUGAGAGAGUGACAGAAAUAAAACGAGCAUCAGCUUUGGGUAGUUGUAAACAGCAUUC